rnacentral:tRNA from 1 species
CUGGGUGUAGCUCAAUGGCAGAGCACAUGACUUGCAUGUAUGGCGCCCUAGGUUCAGUUCCUGGCAUCCAAA